rnacentral:rRNA from 1 species
AUGAACGCUAGCGACAGGCCUAACACAUGCAAGUCGAGGGGCGAGCACAAGGAGCAAUCUGAGGUGGCGACCGGCGCACGGGUGAGUAACACGUAUGCAACCUGCCUGUAAGCGGGGAAUAACCCGUUGAAAGACGGACUAAUACCGCAUAAUACUAAAUUACUGCAUGGUAAUUUAUUUAAACAUUUAUGGCUUACAGAUGGGCAUGCGCAUGAUUAGCUAGUUGGAGAGGUAACGGCUCCCCAAGGCAACGAUCAUUAGGGGUUCUGAGAGGAAGGUCCCCCACACUGGUACUGAGACACGGACCAGACUCCUACGGGAGGCAGCAGUGAGGAAUAUUGGUCAAUGGACGAGAGUCUGAACCAGCCAAGUCGCGUGCAGGAAGAAUGUUCCCUAUGGAUUGUAAACUGCUUUUGCAGGGGAAUAAAGUGCAUCACGUGUGAUGUUUUGUAUGUACUCUGCGAAUAAGGAUCGGCUAACUCCGUGCCAGCCGCCGC